GGAAGUAAAAGUCGUAUCAAGGUUUCCGUAGGUGAACCUGCGGAAGGAUCAUUAUUGUAUAACCGAGGUGCGAGGGCUGUCGCUGACCCGAAAGGUCGUGCACGCCCGAGUGCCCUCACACACAUCCAUCUCACCCCUAUGUGCACCACCGCGUGGGUCCCCCUUUGGCUUGUUCGGAGGGGGGCUUACGUUUUCACACAAACUUUGUAUGCAGUGUAGAAUGUAUUUUUUGUUUUUGCGAUCACGCAAUCAAUACAACUUUCAACAACGGAUCUCUUGGCUCUC
rnacentral:misc_RNA from 1 species